AUUGAACGCUGGCGGCAGGCCUAACACAUGCAAGUCGAGCGAGCGGCGGACGGGUGAGUAAUGUAUGGGGACUGCCCGAUCGAGGGGGCUAACUACUGGAAACGGUAGCUAAUACCGCAUACUAUCGGAUCUCCCAUAUGGGAUUAGCUAGUAGGUGAAGUAAUGGCUCACCUAGGCGACGAUCCCUUGCUGGUCUGAGAGGAUGAUCAGCCACACUGGGACUGAGACACGGCCCAGACUCCUACGGAGGCAGCAGUGGGGAAUAUUGCACAAUGGGCGCAAGCCUGAUGCAGCCAUGCCGCGUGUAUGAAGAAGGCCCUAGGGUUGUAAAGUACUUUCAGUCGGGAGGCGUUACCGGCAGAAAAAGCACCGGCUAACUCCGUGCCAGCAGCCGCGGUAAUAC
rnacentral:rRNA from 1 species